rnacentral:rRNA from 1 species
CACGGCUUAACUGUGAGCGUGCGGGCGAUACGGGCAGACUUGAGUACUGCAGGGGAGACUGGAAUUCCUGGUGUAGCGGUGGAAUGCGCAGAUAUCAGGAGGAACACCGGUGGCGAAGGCGGGUCUCUGGGCAGUAACUGACGCUGAGGAGCGAAAGCGUGGGGAGCGAACAGGAUUAGAUACCCUGGUAGUCCACGCCGUAAACGGUGGGUACUAGGUGUGGGUUUCCUUCCUUGGGAUCCGUGCCGUAGCUAACGCAUUAAGUACCCCGCCUGGGGAGUACGGCCGCAAGGCUAAAACUCAAAGAAAUUGACGGGGGCCCGCACAAGCGGCGGAGCAUGUGGAUUAAUUCGAUGCAACGCGAAGAACCUUACCUGGGUUUGACAUGCACAGGACGCCGGCAGAGAUGUCGGUUCCCUUGUGGCCUGUGUGCAGGUGGUGCAUGGCUGUCGUCAGCUCGUGUCGUGAGAUGUUGGGUUAAGUCCCGCAACGAGCGCAACCCUUGUCUCAUGUUGCCAGCGGGUAAUGCCGGGGACUCGUGAGAGACUGCCGGAGUCAACUCGGAGGAAGGUGGGGAUGACGUCAAGUCAUCAUGCCCCUUAUGUCCAGGGCUUCACACAUGCUACAAUGGCCGGUACAAAGGGCUGCGAUGCCGCGAGGUUAAGCGAAUCCUUUUAAAGCCGGUCUCAGUUCGGAUCGGGGUCUGCAACUCGACCCCGUGAAGUCGGAGUCGCUAGUAAUCGCAGAUCAGCAAC